AUUCAGGUUUAAAGGCAGGGUGAGAACAUGCCUUCUCCUUUAACCUUCUUCCAUUUAUACUUGAUCCAAUGUUGCUAAAAUGUUCAUAAUCAGAAAGGAGACAAUACACCAAAGCCCAUGCUCUGGUAACAUCUCAGAUCAUCUGGCACUGGGAAGAGGGAGUGGGAUCCUCAAGGAAGACAAACUGGCUUUGCUAAUAAGAAAACAUCAGCUGUUGAGUACAAGACACCAAACAAGUCAGAGGAUCUCUUCAUGAUGCUGCCCAGAUUGGCUGGGUCCACUGAUUGCUUUCAGAGACUAGAUUUGACAAAUUCUUGCACACUUGGGUGACAAAAGAAAAGACCAUUCAGAGCCAAGAUUGUUGGGCAAGAAGAGGCACAGUGGUCAAGGCUCACUCAGAAGCAGGAAAAGUAUCAAACCAAUUUUAAACUCAUUCAAACAGAUGAAGAUGUAGACCUCUCAGCUCUGCUUGUACCAUGCCUGCCUGAAUGCUGCCAUAUUCCUGCCUUGAUGACAAUGGACUGAACUUCUGAGCCUUUACCUCGAACAGGUUACCUGGAAGAGAAGCUGGGGAUGUAUGAGAAGAUGGUGAAAAUAGAUCAAGACCCAAACAGCACCUGCUGUUCAAGGUCUCAAGGUUUAAUGGAGGACUCCAAAUACAUAAGCAGAGGAAAACCCUUCCUCCAAAGGCUGGAAACUCUCUGAAGAACUGAAGAACUGGUUCAGUUGUUCCACAGGUGGCUAGUGUUUCUCAGGAAACUGCAGGUCCUUGAAGAACAAUGGGCUUCAUCUUUGUCUGAGUGCACCACCCUAGGUGGAAGGGAUUGUUGGCUAACACAGGAGUUCCUGCUCAAAGGCAAGAAAAGGAACUUCACCUUGGUUGAUGUCAAGUUCCUGUCAGGUGGCAUGGCACCCCAAUAAGGCUCUCUACACUAUUACUUGUGUGAACUCCUGCAACUAUGACAAGAAAUACCCACUUUUUGUGAUAGAAGGUUUCUCGUUAGCUUGAAAGUCACCAAGCAGUCAAAGCUGACUGAAUUGUGAGUCCUGGGUAUUUAUCUGUAUCCACCUCC